GGAGAGGAAAGAGAAUGGAGAGAGGGAGGCAGAGAGAGAAAGAGAGGGAGAGGAGAGAGAAUAGAGAGGCAGAGACAGAAAUAGAGGGAGAGGAGAGUCAAUGGAGAUACGGAGGCAGAGAGAGGAAGAGAGGGAGGCAGAGAGAGAAUGGAGAGAGGGAGGCAGAGAGAGAAAGAGAGUUAGGCAAAGAGAGAAAGAGAGGGAGAGGAGAGAGAAUGGAGAGAGGGAGAGGAGAGAGAAUGGAGAGAAGGAGAGGAGACAGAAUGGAGAGAGGGAGGCAGAGAGAGAAAUAGAGGGAGAGGAGAGUCGAUGGAGAGAGGGAGGCAGAGAGAGAAAGAGAGGGAGAGGAGAGAGAAUGGAGAGAGGGAGAGGAGAGAGAAUGGAGAAAGGGAGAGGAGAGAGAAAGAGAGGACGAGGAGAGAGAAUUGAGAGAGGGAGGCAGAGAGAGAAUGGAGAGAGGGAGGCAGAGAGAGAAAGAGAGGGAGAGGAGAGAGAAUGGAGAGAGGGAGGCAGAGAGAGAAAGAGAGGGAGGCAGAGAGAGAGAGGGAGGCAGAAAGAGAAAGAGAGGGAGGCAGAGAGACAAUGGAGAGAGGGAGGCAGAGAGAGAAGAGAGGGAGGCAGAGAGAGAAAGAGAGGGAGAGGAGAGAGAAUGGAGAGAGGGAGGCAGAGAGAGAAAGAGAGGGAGAGGAGAGAGAAUGGAGAGAGGGAGGCAGAGAGAGAAAGAGAGGGAGAGGAGAGAGAAUGGAGAGAGGGAGGCAGAGAGACAAUGGAGAGAGGGAGGCAGAGAGAGAAGAGAGGGAGGCAGAGAGACAAUGGAGAGAGGGAGAGGAGAGAGAAUGGAGAGAGACAGGCAGAGUGAGAAAGAGAGGGAGAGGAGAGAGAAUGGAGAGAGGGAGGCAGAGAGAGAAAGAGAGGGAGAGGAGAGAGAAUGGAGAGAGACAGGCAGACAGAGAAAGAGAAGGAGAGGAGAGAGAUUGGAGAGAGGGAGAGGAGAGAGAAAGAGAGGGAGAGGAGAGAAUGGAGAGAGGGAGAGGAGAGAGGAUGGAGAGGGAGAGGAGAGAGAAUGGAGAGAGGGAGAGGAGAGAGGAUGGAGAGGGAGAGGAGAGAGAAAGAGAGGGAGAGGAGAGAGAAUAGAGAGAGGGAGGCAGAGAGAGAAAUAGACGGAGAGGAGAGAAUGGAGAGAGGGAGGCAGAGAGAGAAAGAGAGGGAGAGGAGAGAGAAUGGAGAGAGGGAGGCAGAGAGAGAAAGAGAUGGAGAGUAGAGAGAAUGGAGAGAGACAGGAAGAGAGAGAAAGUGAGGGAGAGGGUGGCAGAGAGAGAAAGAGAGGGAGAGGAGAGAGAAUGGAGAGAGGGAGGCAGAGAGAGAAAGAGAUGGAGAGUAGAGAGAAUGGAGAGAGACAGGAAGAGAGAGAAAGUGAGGGAGAGGGUGGCAGAGAGAGACAGAGAGGGAGAGGAGAGAGAAUGGAGAGAGGGUGGCAAAGAGAAGGAGAGGAGAGAGAAUGGAGAGAGGGAGAGGAGAGAGAGUGGAGAGAGUGAGAGGAGAGAGAAUGGAGAGAAGGAAACAGAGAGAGAAUGGUGAGAGGGAGAGGAGAGAGAAUGGAGAGAGGGAGAGGAGAAAGAGAGGAAGAGGAGAGAAUGGAAGGAGAAAGAGAGGGAGAGGAGAGAUAAUGGAGAGAGGGACAGGAGAGAGGAUGGAGAGGGAGAGGCGAGAGAAAGAGAGGGAGAGGAGAGAUAAUGGAGAGAGGGACAGGAGAGAGGAUGGAGAGGGAGAGGCGAGAGAAAGAGAGGGAGAGGAGAGAGAAUGGAGAGAGCGUGGCAGAGAGAGAAAGAGAGGGAGAGGAGAGAGAAUGGAGAGAGGGAGGCAGAGAGAGAAAUGGAUAGAGAGGAGAGAGAAUGGAGAGAGGGAGGCAGAGAGAGAAAGAGAUGGAGAGUAGAGAGAAUGGAGAGAGACAGGAAGAGAGAGAAAGUGAGGGAGAGGGUGGCAGAGAGAGACAGAGAGGGAGAGGAGAGAGAAUGGAGAGAGGGUGGCAAAGAGAAGGAGAGGAGAGAGAAUGGAGAGAGGGAGGCAGAGAGAGAAUUAGAGAGGGAGACGAGAGUGAAUGGAGAGAGGGAGAGGAGAGAGAAUGGAGAGGGAGAGGAGAGAGAGUGGAGAGAGUGAGAGGAGAGAGAAUGGAGGGAGAGGAGAAUCGAGAGAGGGAAGCAGAGAGAGAAAAAGAGGGAGAGGAGAGCGAAUGGAGAGAGGGAGGCAGAGAGAGGAAUAGAGGGAGAGGAGAGAGAAUGGAGAGAGGGAGAGGCGAGAGAAUGGAGAGAGGGAGGCAGCGAGAGUAAGAGAGGGAGGCAGAGAGAGAAAGAGAGGGAGAGGAGAGAGAUUGGAGAGAGGGAGGCAGAGAGAGAAUGGAGAGAGGGAGGCAGAGAGAGAAGAGAGAGGGAGGCAGAGAGAGAAAGAGAGGGAGGCAGAGAGAGAGGAUAGAGAAUGGAGAGAGGGAGAGGAGAGAGAAUGGAGAGAGGGAGAGGAUAGAGAAUGGAGAGAUGGAGGCAGAGCGCAAUAGAGAGGGAGGCAGAGAGAGAAUGGAGAGAGGGAGGCAGAGAGAGAAAGAGAGGGAGUGUAGAGAGAAUGGAGAGAGGGAGGUAGAGAGAGAAUGGAGAGAGGGAGGCAGAGAGAGAAAUAGAGGGAGAGGAGAGAGAAUGGAGAGAGGGAGGCAGAGAAAGAGAAAGAGAGGGAGAGGAGAGAGAAUGGAGAGGGAGGCAGAGAGAGAAAUAGAGGGAGAGGAGAGAGGGAGGCAGAGAGAGAGAAAGAGAGGGAGGCAGAGAGAGAAAUAGAGGGAGAGGAGAGAGGGAGGCAGAGAGAGAAAUAGAGGGAGAGGAGAGAGGGAGGCAGAGAGAGAGAAAGAGAGGGAGGCAGAGAGAGAAAUAGAGGGAGAGGAGAGAGGGAGGCAGAGAGAGAAAUAGAGGGAGAGGAGAGAGGGAGGCAGAGAGAGAAAUAGAGGGAGAGGAGAGAGAAAAAAUUCUGCAAAAAUAUCCUCCGUCCACGGGACCGUGCACGGGAGUGUCAUCAUCUGACACUAAUUAGCAUAACGCAACGGACAUAAAUCUUCCUAGAAAAUCUUCCUAUUCAUGAAAAUCACAAGUGAAAUAUAUUGGAUCACAGCUUAGCCUUUUGUUAAUCACACUGUCAUCUCAGAUGUUCAAAAUGUGCUUUACAGCCAAAGCUAGACAAGCAUUUGUGUAAGUUUAUCGAUAGCCUAGCAUAGCAUUAUGCCUUGCUAGCAGCAGGCAACCUUGUCACGAAAAUCAGAAACGCAAUCAAAUUAAAUCGUUUACCUUUGAUGAUCUUCGGAUGUUUUCACUCACGAGACUCCCAGGUAGAUAGCCAAAGUUUAUUUUUUCCCAAAAUCUUAUUUUUGUAGGCGAAAUAGCUCCGUUUGUUCUUCACGUUUGGCUGAGAAAUCGACCGGAUAUUGUGGUCACGACAACGCCGAAAAAUAUUCCAAAUUAGCUCCAUAAUAUCGACAGAAACAUGGCAAACGUUGUUUAUAAUCAAUCUUCAAGGUGUUUUUCAAAUAUCUAUUCGGAAAUAUAUCAACCGGGACAAUUGGUGUCUCAGUAGAAGCGAUUGGAAUAAUGGCUACCUCUGUAUUUUAUGCAAGAAUCUCUCUGGGAGCAUCAGCUGACCACUUGCGCAAUGAAGCCGCCUACGGGUAUUCUUCAACAUAAAUGCGUAAAACUAUGUCACAAUGCUGUAGACACCUUGGGGAAUACGUAGAAAGCGUAAUCUGGUUGAUAGGGCAUUCACAGCUCAAUAGGGACGCAUCGGAACGCAGGGCUUUCAAAAGAUGAGUCACUUCCGGAUGGAUUUUUCUCAGGCUUUCGCCUGUAACAUCAGUUCUGUUAUACUCACAGACAAUAUUUUUACAGUUUUGGAAACAUGAGUGUUUUCUAUCCUAAUUAUAUGCAUAUUCUGGCAUCUCGUCCUGACAAAAUAUCCCGUUUAAUUUGGGAACGUUUUUUUUCCAAAAAUGAAAAUACUGCCCCCUAGUACCAACAGGUUAGAUUCUACAACCACCUAAAAGGAAGCGAUUCCCAAACCUUCCAUAACAAAGCCAUCACCUACAGAGAGAUGAACCUGGAGAAGAGUCCCCUAUGCAAGCUGGUCCUGGGGCUCUGUUCAGAAACACAAACACACCCCACAGAGCCCCAGGAGAGCAGCACAAUUAGACCCAACCAAAUCAUGAGAAAACAAAAAGAUAAUUACUUGACACAUUGGAAAGAAUUAACAAAAAAACAGAGCAAACUAUAAUGCUAUUUGGCCUUAAACAGAGAGUACACAGUGGCAGAAUACCUGACCACUGUGACUGACCCAAACUUAAGGAAAGCUUUGACUAUGUACAGACUCAGUGAGCAUAGCCUUGCUAUUGAGAAAGGCCGCUGUAGGCAGACCUGGCUCUCAAGAGAAGACAGGCUAUGUGCUCACUGCCCACAAAAUGAGGUGGAAACUGAGCUGCACUUCUUAACCUCCUGCCCAAUGUAUGACCAUAUUAGAGAGACAUAUUUCCCUCAUAUUACACAGAUCCACAAAGAAUUCGAAAACAAAUCCAAUUUUGAUAAACUCCCAUAUUUACUGGGGGAAAUUCCACAGUGUGCCAUCACAGCAGCAAGAAUUGUGACCUGUUGCCACGAGAAAAGGGCAACCAGUGAAGAACAAACACCAUUGUAAAUACAACCCAUAUUUAUGCUUAUUUAUUUUCCCUUGUGUUCUUUAACCAUUUGUACAUUGUUAAAACACUGUAUAUAUAUAAUAUGACAUUUGUAAUGUCUUUAUUGUUUUGAAACUUCUGUAUGUGUAAUGUUUACUGUUAAUUUGUAUUGUUUAUUUCACUUUUGUAUAUUAUCUACCUCACUUGCUUUGGCAAUGUUAACACAUGUUUCCCAUGCCAAUAAAGCCCCUUGAAUUGAAUUGAACGAGAGGGAGAGGAGAGAGAAUGGAGAGAGGGAGGCAGAGAGAGAAUGGAGAGAGGGAGAGGAGAGAGAAUGGAGAGAGGGAGAGGAGAGAGAAUGGAGAGAGGGAGAGGAGAGAGGAUGGAGAGAGGGAGAGGAGAGAGAAUGGAGAGAGGGAGGCAGAGAGAGAUUGGAGAGAGGGAGAGGAGAGAGAAUAGAGAGAGGGAGAGGAUAGAGAAUGGAGAGGGAUAGGAGAGAGAAUGGUAAGAGUGAGAGGAGAGAGAGGGAGAGGAUAAUCGAGAGAGGGAGAGGAGAGAGAACGAGAGGGAGAGGAGAGAGAAAUAGAGGGAGAGGAGAGAGAGGGAGAGGAUAAUCGAGAGAGGGAGGCAGAGAGAGAACGAGAGGGAGAGGAGAGAGAAAUAGAGGGAGAGGAGAGAGAAUGGAGAGAUGGAGGCAGAGAGAGAAAGAGAGGGAGGCAGAGAGAGAAAGAGAGGGAGAGGAUAGAGAAUGGAGAGAGGGAGAGGAGAGAGAAUGGAGAGAGGGAGGCAGAGAGAGAAAGAGAGGGAGAGGAGAGAGAGAGAGGAGGUGAUGCAGACCUCUCACAUCCUCAUCCUAGUGCAUGAUCUGCCAAUGUGUCAGGAUUAAUGUGUGAGCAGAGUUUGUGUGUGUGUGUGCAUGUGUGUGCGUGUGUGUGUGUGUGUGUGUGUGUGUGUGUGUGUGUGUGUGUGUGUGAGCAAGCAAGGCAUUAGCUCAUCUCUGAGUGCUGAGGGACUAGCAGUGUUCUGUAAUCCUACCAGUCACACACACACACACACACACACACACACACACAC
ensembl:lncRNA